rnacentral:rRNA from 1 species
CGCACGGGUGAGUAACACGUAUCCAACCUGCCGUCUACUCUUGGACAGCCUUCUGAAAGGAAGAUUAAUACAAGAUGGCAUCAUGAGUCCGCAUGUUCACAUGAUUAAAGGUAUUCCGGUAGACGAUGGGGAUGCGUUCCAUUAGUUUGUUGGCGGGGUAACGGCCCACCAAGACUACGAUGGAUAGGGGUUCUGAGAGGAAGGUCCCCCACAUUGGAACUGAGACACGGUCCAA